GACGAACUGUCCAAACGUUGUUCGGAAUCACUGGGCUUAAAGGGCGCGUAGGUGGUCAAACAAGUCAGGGGUGAAAUCCUGCAGCUCAACUGUAGAAGUGCCUCUGAUACUGUUUGUCUAGAGGGAGAUAGGGGUGUGCGGAACUUCCAGUGGAGCGGUGAAAUGCGUUGAUAUUGGAAGGAACGCCGGAGGCGAAAGCGGCGCACUGGAUCUCUUCUGACGCUGAGGCGCGAAAGCCAGGGGAGCAAACGGG
rnacentral:rRNA from 1 species